UACGGAGGGUGCGAGCGUUAAUCGGAAUAACUGGGCGUAAAGGGCACGCAGGCGGACUUUUAAGUGAGGUGUGAAAGCCCCGGGCUUAACCUGGGAAUUGCAUUUCAGACUGGGAGUCUAGAGUACUUUAGGGAGGGGUAGAAUUCCACGUGUAGCGGUGAAAUGCGUAGAGAUGUGGAGGAAUACCGAAGGCGAAGGCAGCCCCUUGGGAAUGUACUGACGCUCAUGUGCGAAAGCGUGGGGAG
rnacentral:rRNA from 1 species